CAAAAUAUAACGCGCUCAAAGAACACAGGGCUGAUAUGGAAAAUAUCCCAAGUCCGAUGCGCAGCGUUUUAACCGAGGGACUGCACAUGGUCUAAGAACCAGAGUGAAACAGCAGCAAAAUUCACGGCCCAAAUCACAAAAAACAAAAAAAUCAGAUUGCACUACGCUGCAAAAACGGAGAGACUCCUUGCGCAAAUAACCCCUCAAGGCUAAAACACGCGGAUCCUCCUUCCGAAGCGGGUCGGGUCGGAUGGCCCCGAAACGACGCCGUUUUGGGGAUUUUCUGAACUUCCCAAAACGGUACCGUUUUGGUACCCUAUAUAAAUAAAAAAACCUAAAAAAAUCACUUUUCCCUUCAUUUUUUACAAAAAUUUCAGAAACCUCUCCCUCUUUCUCUCUGCCUUCUCCGAGCAUUGCCCAGAAUCCGGCGAGAGGACCGCCGCAGAGUCGCUGUCGGUCGCCAUCGUACCCGCCGUGGACGGCGGACGGAACCACCCAAAAGUCGGGUUUUUAAACCUCGUUUCAAACACGGGCAAAAGUCCACCCUUUUUGGCCGGAAGGCCGAAGGAAAAGAGUUCCUCCACGCACUCUCUGGGUCCGAUUUCGGCGACCGAAAAGGGCCUCCGACGAUGAGCGCGGGACCCACCAGGUGUUGACGUUGAUGGAGUAGGUGAUUGACGGGCGGCGCGGCGUCAAAGGUAGCGGUGGCAGAAGCGGCGACAGCAGAGGGUCAGAAGGCCCUAGGUGCGGCGCACCUAGGGUUAGGGUUUUCUUUUUUUUCUGAUUUGUUUUGGGCCACUUGGGCCGUGUAUUGUAAUGGGGCCUUAUUUAUUUCCAUCGGGCCAGGCAGAAUUGGCCUGCUACACUAUAUAUAAAUGAUUAUAUCAUAAUUUUUUAAAAUUCCAUAA